rnacentral:tRNA from 1 species
GCGGUGGUAGUAUAGUGGCCUAGUAUUCGGCGUUGCCAACGCUGUGACCCGGGUUCAAAAGCCAGUUACACUGAGAUUACAUGUAAUAGCAUGAAUGUCCCGGCCACCGCA